GACGAAGGUGGCUAGCGUUGCUCGGAUUUACUGGGCAUAAAGCGCGCGUAGGUGGUCCUGUAAGCGAGAGAUGAAAGCCCAUGGCUCACCCAUGGAACUGUCCCUCGGACUGCAGGGCUGGAGGGCGGGAGGGGAGAAUGGAAUUCCCGGUGUAGCGGUGAAAUGCGUAGAUAUCGGGAGGAACGCCGGUGGCGAAAGCGAUUCUCUGGCCCGUUCCUGACACUGAGGCGCGAAAGCUAGGGGAGCAAACAGG
rnacentral:rRNA from 1 species